rnacentral:snRNA from 9 species
AUACUUACCUGACGUAGGGGAUACUGUGAUCAUGGAGGCGGUUCCCUCAGGGCGAGGUUGUUCCAUUGCACUGCGGAGUGUUUUUGACCCUUGCGAUAAUAAUAUUUUUAUCUAUUUAUAUCUAAUACGGUCGCAUAGC